rnacentral:rRNA from 1 species
AGUGAACGCUGGCGGUAGGCCUAACACAUGCAAGUCGAACGGCAGCACAGUAAGAGCUUGCUCUUACGGGUGGCGAGUGGCGGACGAGUGAGGAAUACAUCGGAAUCUACCUUUUCGUGGGGGAUAACGUAGGGAAACUUACGCUAAUACCGCAUACGACCUACGGGUGAAAGCAGGGGAUCUUCGGACCUUGCGCGAUUGAAUGAGCCGAUGUCGGAUUAGCUAGUUGGCGGGGUAAAGGCCCACCAAGGCGACGAUCCGUAGCUGGUCUGAGAGGAUGAUCAGCCACACUGGAACUGAGACACGGUCCAGACUCCUACGGGAGGCAGCAGUGGGGAAUAUUGGACAAUGGGCGCAAGCCUGAUCCAGCCAUACCGCGUGGGUGAAGAAGGCCUUCGGGUUGUAAAGCCCUUUUGUUGGGAAAGAAAAGCAGCAGGUUAAUACCCCGCUGUUCUGACGGUACCCAAAGAAUAAGCACCGGCUAACUUCGUG